GCCCGUUAGCAGUGGUGUAACAGCGGCGUCUUUGUGACGUAUCCAGUCCGGACAUUAGCCUCUUUACUUGCUGCGUUUCAGAUCUUUAGUAGGCAGUGCGUCUGAAGCCCACAUUUCUGUGCUGUAAAAAAGAUUCCAACUCGAUGGCAGCAAAGUCACUAACGCAGCUACACACGUAACUACAACCUUGAUAGACAUGGAUAUGCAAGAUGCCAGCAUAAAUGUUUUAAGAAGUUUUCAGUUGCUGAGAAGGAAAUAUUGUUGACAGAAUUCAACAACGCCUAACAAAGAUGGACCGGGGGGUACUUGGGUGCUCAAACUCUUUCCUUUAUAGCAAGAGCAAGGAGACCUCACCCAAAUUCCAUUACUAACUGUGGAAGGACAACAAAAUUAUUAUUGUAAGGUUAAAGUUGCCUUCAAGGAAACUAUAUUAUGCAAUAAAGCCUCUAUUGCACUCCAUGUUAAAAAAAAA